GACUCCUGGCUCGAGGACGACGCUGGCGGCGUGCCUAACACAUGCAAGUCGAACGGAGCACUUCGGUGCUUAGUGGCGAACGGGUGAGUAACGCGUGAGAAACCUGCCUCUCAUGGGGGACAACAGUUGGAAACGACUGCUAAUACCGCAUAAUGUAUUCGGAAGGCAUCUUCUGAAUACCAAAGCUUUAUGUGCUGAGAGAUGGUCUCGCGUCUGAUUAGCUAGAUGGCGGGGUAACGGCCCACCAUGGCGACGAUCAGUAGCCGGUCUGAGAGGAUGAACGGCCACAUUGGGACUGAGAUACGGCCCAGACUCCUACGGGAGGCAGCAGUGGGGAAUAUUGGGCAAUGGGGGAAACCCUGACCCAGCAACGCCGCGUGAAGGAAGAAGGCCCUCGGGUUGUAAACUUCUUUUACCAGGGACGAAGAAAGUGACGGUACCUGGAGAAAAAGCAACGGCUAACUACGUG
rnacentral:rRNA from 1 species